ensembl:misc_RNA 7SK 7SK RNA
GAAUGUGAAGGCGAGCUGGCUGUAUCAUCUGUCAUCCCACUGAUCACCCGUGUUGAUUCGGCUGGUCUGGUUGGCUAGACAGGAGUCCCCUACGUGCUUCACUGCUGUGUGUGGCCCUCCGGAAAUAGCACACUGGAAGAGGAUAACCACCCGCAAUAGACAAAGACCAUUUCUUUGGUUAAGGGUAUACAAAUAUCUGUGUUCCCCUGCUGGAACUUUGAAACAAGCUCUCAGUACAGGUAAAUAUAUAAAUUUAUUCAGGGAACUCAAAAUUAUGAAAAAAAUAUAUGCAAUCUUAAGGAGACCAUU